UGAGGAAUAUUGGUCAAUGGGCGGAAGCCUGAACCAGCCAUCCCGCGUGAAGGAAGAAGGCCUUAUGGGUUGUAAACUUCUUUUCUGUUUGAAGAAUAAGCUUGUCGUGACAAGUGAUGCCGGUAGGACAGGAAUAAGCAUCGGCUAACUCCGUGCCAGCAGCCGCGGUAAUACGGAGGAUGCAAGCGUCAUCCGGAUUUAUUGGGUUUAAAGGGUGCGCAGGUGGUUUAAUAAGUCAGUGGUGAAAGUCUGCCGCUUAACGGUAGGAUUGCCGUUGAUACUGUUGGACUUGAAUAUGGAUGAGGUAGGCGGAAUGUGUAGUGUAGCGGUGAAAUGCUUAGAUAUUACACAGAACACCGAUUGCGAAGGCAGCUUACUAAUCCAUGAUUGACGCUGAGGCACGAAAGCGUGGGGAUCAAACAG
rnacentral:rRNA from 1 species